GUCUUCUUGGUCGAGUGAUAAGGACACUGGCUUCUCACUCUGAAGUCCCGGGUUCGAUCCCCGGUCGAGGGGCUA